UUCUGUUCUGUGCUCCAAGGUUAAUUUAAUACAUUAAAUUCUGUCACAGAGUUAAAGAAGUAGUCCAGUGUCACUUUAGUACUUUAAAAGUGUCGAUUUUCUUUGGAUUUUUUUAUUUUUUAUAUUAUCUUCUGUUUGUAAUUGUUAUGGUGGUCAUGGCGGCAUUGGAAGAACUCCUUUUGUUUCUGCACGCUGGGCAGUAUUGUCUCCAGCUACCAAAGUAUUUGUUUUGAUCUUUUGCGUCCUACUGGGAGUCUUCGCCAUGGUCGGAUUAUACCGAGCUUAUCUUUGGUGCACCAAAGAACCAGCCCGCCGAUGAUGAUGAUGAUGCAAGAAACAAAUGAGAAUCACAGGCACUAACGAAUUUUACAGCAGAAUGACAACCUUCAAGUGGAUGUCUGAUUUGAUACUUUAAGAUAACACAAUGCCAUUCUUUUUUAACGGAUGCAAUGGCUUCUGUCACCUCGCUUCCAUGAAUGAAGCUAAGAAAGCAAAUACAAACAAAAAUAUCAUUUAUCAGUACUUGAAGCGUACAUUGUAUGGGAGAAGUUAUGUAGAUCUCGAGGUCACCUGAAGGUCAACUUUUACACUGAAUAUAUAAGACACUGUUAAAUAAUUAUUAAAAUGUUUCUUAUCAGUAAAUGAAUAUUUAUCCUAAAUAUUGUUAAUACAUCUUAUGCUGUAUUUUUUCUUAAGAAUAUCUUUUGGAAAAUUCCCAUUUUUCAUACGAAAAUUAAAACAUGUUUUACAAUCGCAAUAAAGUUUGGAAAUUGCAACUAAUAUUCAUUUAUUCCGUAAUCAUACAAAGUAUGGAAUUUCUAUACAUUUUAACGUCAUCGGAAGAUCAAGCUUUUAUGGAAACUAUUAAAAGAAAUUUUAAUGAAUUUUUAAUAUAUUUUAAGUAACUAAUUGAAUAUUUGUGCAAUAUAUAGCUGAUACAUUUUGUGAUACAUUUUUUGUGCAAUUUCUUUUAGAAAAUACUCAAAUGUAAUUUAAAAAUUAGAAUAUGUUUUUACAAUCGCAAUAAAGUAUUGAUA